rnacentral:rRNA from 1 species
UGCUGGCGGCUGCGCCAUGCAGUCGACGAUGAUGCCCAGCUUGCUGGGUGGAUUAGUGGCGAACGGGUGAGUAACACGUGAGUAACCUGCCCCUGACUCUGGGAUAAGCGUUGGAAACGACGUCUAAUACUGGAUAUGAUCACUGGCCGCAUGGUCUGGUGGUGGAAAGAUUUUUUGGUUGGGGAUGGACUCGCGGCCUAUCAGCUUGUUGGUGAGGUAAUGGCUCACCAAGGCGACGACGGGUAGCCGGCCUGAGAGGGUGACCGGCCACACUGGGACUGAGACACGGCCCAGACUCCUACGGGAGGCAGCAGUGGGGAAUAUUGCACAAUGGGCGAAAGCCUGAUGCAGCAACGCCGCGUGAGGGAUGACGGCCUUCGGGUUGUAAACCUCUUUUAGUAGGGAAGAAGCGAAAGUGACGGUACCUGCAGAAAAAGCACCGGCUAACUACGUGCCAGCAGCCGCGGUAAUACGUAGGGUGCAAGCGUUGUCCGGAAUUAUUGGGCGUAAAGAGCUCGUAGGCGGUUUGUCGCGUCUGCUGUGAAAUCCCGAGGCUCAACCUCGGGCUUGCAGUGGGUACGGGCAGACUAGAGUGCGGUAGGGGAGAUUGGAAUUCCUGGUGUAGCGGUGGAAUGCGCAGAUAUCAGGAGGAACACCGAUGGCGAAGGCAGAUCUCUGGGCCGUAACUGACGCUGAGGAGCGAAAGCAUGGGGAGCGAACAGGAUUAGAUACCCUGGUAGUCCAUGCCGUAAACGUUGGGCGCUAGAUGUAGGGACCUUUCCACGGUUUCUGUGUCGUAGCUCACGCAUUAAGCGCCCCGCCUGGGGAGUACGGCCGCAAGGCUAAAACUCAAAGGAAUUGACGGGGGCCCGCACAAGCGGCGGAGCAUGCGGAUUAAUUCGAUGCAACGCGAAGAACCUUACCAAGGCUUGACAUACACCGGAAACGGCCAGAGAUGGUCGCCCCCUUGUGGUCGGUGUACAGGUGGUGCAUGGUUGUCGUCAGCUCGUGUCGUGAGAUGUUGGGUUAAGUCCCGCAACGAGCGCAACCCUCGUUCUAUGUUGCCAGCGGGUUAUGCCGGGGACUCAUAGGAGACUGCCGGGGUCAACUCGGAGGAAGGUGGGGAUGACGUCAAAUCAUCAUGCCCCUUAUGUCUUGGGCUUCACGCAUGCUACAAUGGCCGGUACAAAGGGCUGCGAUACCGUAAGGUGGAGCGAAUCCCAAAAAGCCGGUCUCAGUUCGGAUUGAGGUCUGCAACUCGACCUCAUGAAGUCGGAGUCGCUAGUAAUCGCAGAUCAGCAACGCUGCGGUGAAUACGUUCCCGGGCCUUGUACACACCGCCCGUCAAGUCAUGAAAGUCGGUAACACCCGAAGCCGGUGAGCCUAAUCCCGUGUGCUCGAUUCAGAGAGCCGUGUUCCC